rnacentral:rRNA from 1 species
CCUACGGGAGGCAGCAGUGAGGAAUAGUGGUCAAUGGGCGCGAGCCUGAACCAGCCAAGUAGCGUGAAGGAUGACUGCCCUACGGGUUGUAAACUUCUUUUAUAAAGGAAUAAAGUGAGGCACGUGUGCCGUUUUGUAUGUACUUUAUGAAUAAGGAUCGGCUAACGCCGUGCCAGCAGCCGCGGUAAUACGGAGGAUCCGAGCGUUAUCCGGAUUUAUUGGGUUUAAAGGGAGCGUAGAGGGGUUGUUAAGUCCGUUGUGAAAGGUUGUGGCUCAACCGGAAAAUUGCACUUGAUACUGGCAGUCUUGAGUACAGUUGCGGUCGGCGGAAUUCGUUGUGUAGCGG